AGCGCAGACGGCGAAGCAAGUCUGAAGUGAAAUGCAUGGGCUCAACCCAUGAAUUGCUUUGGAAACUGUUCGGCUUGAGUGUCGGAGGGGUAAGCGGAAUUCCUAGUGUAGCGGUGAAAUGCGUAGAUAUUAGGAGGAACACCGGAGGCGAAGGCGGCUUACUGGACGACAACUGACGUUGAGGCUCGAAGGCGUGGGGAGCAAACA
rnacentral:rRNA from 1 species